rnacentral:lncRNA from 1 species
GGGGUGUAGGCAAGAAUAGCUUUUCCAACAGUCUGGUCAUGUUCUCAACACACUGCUUGUAUCUCCAUCUCUCUUUCAGGAGGUCUUGUAGGGAAAGAGCAUCUUGUUGUGUCUAAGUGAUGGCCUUUCUGUUCCAAAAGAAUUUCUGCAACAUUAUUGAGUGGGACUAGGAAGGAUUAGCAAGUCCUCAGAUUACUUGAGCAAUGGGCCAUGGGCCUUCUCAUUUGGAGUUCAGUCUUGGUCAAUAUCAACAUCUUACGGCAAGUCGAUAAAUCCCAGUAUCAACCGCAGAAGAAGAAGUGUCAAUGCCAGCGGCCGGCGACUUGGUUUACGGUUGCCUUGUAACUUACUUGGACCAGCCGACUGCAACAGCACGAGUGGGCAGCAAUGUCUCAGUUCCAAGCCCAGACCUCGAGAGACGUCGCCCACUCCCCACACCCCCUCUCUGCCUCCAUCAUGAGAACAAGAGCAGCUAGCCUUCUGGAAGAUCAGCGAGCACGUGGAGAAGAGCUGAGGUCAUCCUAGACUAAUCAGCCUCUGGCCAAUUGGCCAACGGACCACAGAUGUGUAAGCAAGCCCAGCUGAGCCCAGCCCAGAUCAGCAGAGCUGGCCAACCAAUCCAUAAACCCGUGAG